AUGUUAUGCUCAGGUGGAUGCAUGUUGGAAUGGCACCUCUGUGGGUCUCCAUCCUUCUUUGGCAGCAGCACAGAGGAAUCCAGGCAGCUCACUCUGUUCUGUUCUGGGAUACAUCAGAAGAAGUGUCCAGCUGUGAUGCAAACCAGCUUUUCCAGUUCGGUGCAUUUUUGUUUUCGUAUCUCGCACUGGUUUUGCUGGCUCCUCCCGCCUUCCCCAACCUCACCUUUCACCUCUGGUUCCUGGAAAAGAGGCUCAGUGCAAACAACCCUGGCUGUGCGUGGAUGUGGGGCUGAGAAGAGGGACCAUUGGUGGGCCAGGGAGCUCCAUUUCUGCAGGGCUCAGUGCAUACUCAGGUCAUGGUGGUUGUAUUUACAUCCCAUUUACAUUGGGCUGCAGAGCGCUGUGCGCUGCUACAACAACAGCGGUUCUCAUUGCACUCCUCUUGGAGUGCUGUAAGGAGAUGGGAACCCUCCCUCAUUUCAUGCGAUGUUGGUGGGCUGCCAAUUCAGUGGGAGCACCUGACAGAAAUUGAUGUUGAGGUUUUGUUCGCCGCUGUGGGUGUUGUUGCUGACGGUGUUGACAAUUAUUAAAUUAUGGCUGCUGCUCUAAUGAUAGUCGAAGUAAUGUUGGUUAAUUGCUAAGGCAAACUAACAGCUUUUGCAAUUCCGUGUUUGAAGAGAAGCUUUGGCAGAGUGGUGAUGCUGAAAGAGUUAAUGCUAUGGGGAGGAACCCACGCAGCCCCACCGCUGCCCCACUCCCAUCCCAACCCCACCCCACCCAACUUCGCGCUCUCCAGCCCUGCUCACAAAUGGCAAGUAUGGAUAUAAAUCAUGGCUGGAGGGAGCGGGUUUGGCAGGAAGGAGAUCCCACCCCGCUCUGCUUCCCAGAAGCUCCCACUGCCCCACAGAGCAGAGAUUUCCUGAGGUGACCCCAGAUCCCAGAGGCACAAAGGUCACUGAGGGAACAUGCUGGGAUCCUUCUCCUCAGCCCUUGUAAUGGUAUUAGCAAUGACUGUUUCUUACUCAAUCAUAC
rnacentral:lncRNA from 1 species